rnacentral:rRNA from 1 species
GUGGGGAAUUUUGGACAAUGGGCGAAAGCCUGAUCCAGCCAUGCCGCGUGCAGGAUGAAGGCCUUCGGGUUGUAAACUGUUUUUGUACGGAACGAAAAGACUCCUUCUAAUAAAGGGGGUCCAUGACGGUACCGUAAGAAUAAGCACCGGCUAACUACGUGCCAGCAGCCGCGGUAAUACGUAGGGUGCAAGCGUUAAUCGGAAUUACUGGGCGUAAAGCGUGCGAAGGCGGUUAUAUAAGACAGAUGUGAAAUCCCCGGGCUCAACCUGGGAACUGCAUUUGUGACUGUAUAGCUAGAGUACGGUAGAGGGGGAUGGAAUUCCGCGUGUAGCAGUGAAAUGCGUAGAGAUGCGGAGGAACACCGAUGGCGAAGGCAAUCCCCUGGACCUGUACUGACGCUCAUGCACGAAAGCGUGGGGAGCAAACAGGAUUAGAAACCCGAGUAGUCC